rnacentral:rRNA from 1 species
UACGUAGGUGGCAAGCGUUGUCCGGAUUUAUUGGGCUUAAAGGGUGCGCAGGCGGCUUUGUAAGUCAGUGGUGAAAUACUCUAGCUUAACUAGAGGGGUGCCAUUGAUACUGCGGAGCUUGAGUACAGAUGAGGUAGGCGGAAUUGACGGUGUAGCGGUGAAAUGCAUAGAUAUCGUCAAGAACACCGAUAGCGAAGGCAGCUUACUGGGCUGUAACUGACGCUGAUGCACGAAAGUGUGGGGAUCAAACAGG